UACGUAGGGUGCAAGCGUUGUCCGGAAUUAUUGGGCGUAAAGAGCUCGUAGGCGGUCUGUUGCGUCGGCUGUGAAAACCCGGGGCUCAACUCCGGGCCUGCAGCCGAUACGGGCAGACUAGAGUUCGGCAGGGGAGACUGGAAUUCCUGGUGUAGCGGUGAAGUGCGCAGAUAUCAGGAGGAACACCGGUGGCGAAGGCGGGGCUCUGGGCCGAUACUGACGCUGAGGAGCGAAAGCGUGGGGAGCUAACAGG
rnacentral:rRNA from 1 species